rnacentral:rRNA from 1 species
CGGGACGCAGCAGCAGUGGGGAAUAUUGCACAAUGGAGGAAACUCUGAUGCAGCAACGCCGCGUGGAGGAUGACACUUUUCGGAGCGUAAACUCCUUUUAUAUAGGAAGAAGAUGACGGUACUAUAUGAAUAAGCGCCGGCUAACUCCGUGCCAGCAGCCGCGGUAAUACGGAGGGCGCAAGCGUUACUCGGAAUCACUGGGCGUAAAGAGCGUGUAGGCGGAUUAAAAAGUCAGAAGUGAAAUCCUAUAGCUUAACUAUAGAACUGCUUCUGAAACUCUUAAUCUAGAAUAUGGGAGAGGUAGAUGGAAUUUCUGGUGUAGGGGUAAAAUCCGUAGAGAUCAGAAGGAAUACCGAUUGCGAAGGCGAUCUACUAGAACAUUAUUGACGCUGAGACGCGAAAGCGUGGGGAGCAAACAGGAUUAGAUACCCCCGUAGUC